UACGUAGGCAGCGAGCGUUGUUCGGAAUUACUGGGCGUAAAGAGUGUGUAGGCGGUGCUCUAAGUUCGGUGUGAAAUCUCCUGGCUCAACUGGGAGGGUGCGCCGGAAACUGGGAGUGCUUGAGCGUGGGAGAGGAAGGCGGAAUUCCUGGUGUAGCGGUGAAAUGCGUAGAUAUCAGGAGGAACACCUGUGGUGUAGACGGCUUUCUGGACCAUAGCUGACGCUGAGACACGAAAGCGUGGGUAGCAAACAGG
rnacentral:rRNA from 1 species